rnacentral:rRNA from 1 species
AGAACGAACGCUGGCGGCAGGCUUAACACAUGCAAGUCGAACGCCCCGCAAGGGGAGUGGCAGACGGGUGAGUAACGCGUGGGAAUCUACCCAGUUCUACGGAAUAACACAGGGAAACUUGUGCUAAUACCGUAUACGCCCUACGGGGGAAAGAUUUAUCGGGAUUGGAUGAGCCCGCGUUGGAUUAGCUAGUUGGUGGGGUAAUGGCCUACCAAGGCGACGAUCCAUAGCUGGUCUGAGAGGAUGAUCAGCCACACUGGGACUGAGACACGGCCCAGACUCCUACGGGAGGCAGCAGUGGGGAAUAUUGGACAAUGGGCGCAAGCCUGAUCCAGCCAUGCCGCGUGAGUGAUGAAGGCCUUAGGGUUGUAAAGCUCUUUCAGUGGGGAAGAUAAUGACGGUACCCACAGAAGAAGCCCCGGCUAACUUCGUGCCAGCAGCCGC